AGAGUUUGAUCCUGGCUCAGGACGAACGCUGGCGGCGUGCCUAAUACAUGCAAGUCGUGCGGACCUUUUAAAAGCUUGCUUUUAAAAGGUUAGCGGCGGACGGGUGAGUAACACGUGGGCAACCUGCCUGUAAGACCGGGAUAACGCCGGGAAACCGGGGCUAAUACCGGAUCGUUUUUUCCUCCGCAUGGAGGAAAAAAGGAAAGGCGGCUUCGGCUGCCACUUACAGAUGGGCCCGCGGCGCAUUAGCUAGUUGGCGGGGUAACGGCCCACCAAGGCAACGAUGCGUAGCCGACCUGAGAGGGUGAUCGGCCACAUUGGGACUGAGACACGGCCCAAACUCCUACGGGAGGCAGCAGUAGGGAAUCUUCCGCAAUGGACGAAAGUCUGACGGAGCAACGCCGCGUGAGUGAAGAAGGCCUUCGGGUCGUAAACUCUGUUGCCGGGGAAGAACAAGUGCCGUUCGAACAGGGCGGCGCCUUGACGGUACCCGGCCAGAGAG
rnacentral:rRNA from 1 species